rnacentral:tRNA from 1 species
GAGGGUAUAGCUCAGUGGUAGAGAGUGUGUUUAGCAUGCACGAGGUCUACGGUUCAAUCCCCAGCACCUCCA